AGAGUUUGAUCCUGGCUCAGGAUGAACGCUGGCGGCGUGCCUAAUACAUGCAAGUCGAGCGAACAGAUAAGGAGCUUGCUCCUUUGACGUUAGCGGCGGACGGGUGAGUAACACGUGGGUAACCUACCUAUAAGACUGGAAUAACUCCGGGAAACCGGGGCUAAUGCCGGAUAACAUGUUGAACCGCAUGGUUCUACAGUGAAAGACGGUCUUGCUGUCACUUAUAGAUGGACCCGCGCCGUAUUAGCUAGUUGGUGGGGUAACGGCCUACCAAGGCGACGAUACGUAGCCGACCUGAGAGGGUGAUCGGCCACACUGGAACUGAGACACGGUCCAGACUCCUACGGGAGGCAGCAGUAGGGAAUCUUCCGCAAUGGGCGAAAGCCUGACGGAGCAACGCCGCGUGAGUGAUGAAGGUCUUCGGAUCGUAAAGCUCUGUUGUUAGGGAAGAACAAAUGUGUAAGUAACUGUGCACAUCUUGACGGUACCUAACCAGAAAGCCACGGCUAACUACGUGCCAGCAGCCGCGGUAAUACGUAGGUGGCAAGCGUUAUCCGGAAUUAUUGGGCGUAAAGCGCGCGUAGGCGGUUUUUUAAGUCUGAUGUGAAAGCCCACGGCUCAACCGUGGAGGGUCAUUGGAAACUGGAAAACUUGAGUGCAGAAGAGGAAAGUGGAAUUCCAUGUGUAGCGGUGAAAUGCGCAGAGAUAUGGAGGAACACCAGUGGCGAAGGCGGCUUUCUGGUCUGCAACUGACGCUGAUGUGCGAAAGCGUGGGGAUCAAACAGGAUUAGAUACCCUAGUAGUCC
rnacentral:rRNA from 1 species